GGCUCGAUGGUUUAGUGGUAUAAUUCUCGCUUAGGGCGUUACACCUUAAGUCGAUUUGCGAGAGGUCCCGGGUUCAAUUCCCGGUUGAGCCC
rfam:Lipomyces starkeyi NRRL Y-11557 unplaced genomic scaffold LIPSTscaffold_2, whole genome shotgun sequence.